rnacentral:rRNA from 1 species
GACGUAGGAGGCGAGCGUUAUCCGGAUUCACUGGGCGUAAAGCGCAUGUAGGCGGUUCUGUAAGUCCGUUGUUAAAGCCCCCGGCUCAACUGGGGGAGGUCAAUGGAGACUAUAGGACUUGAGGGCAACAGAGGCACAUGGAACUCCCGGUGUAGCGGUGAAAUGCGUAGAUAUCGGGAGGAACAUCGAUGGCGAAAGCAACCGUCUGGGCCUGAACUGACACUGAGACACGAAAGCGUGGGGAGCAAACAGG